rnacentral:lncRNA from 12 species
GCAUCCCCACCCCCAAAUCUUUCAGGUAGAGCUACCGCCAACAAAGACCCGUUGGGGGUCCUUUGUGCGGGCGGGGUGCUGCCCUGGGGACUAGCAGGGGCAGGGGAGCCCUCUUUAGAGCUCCUGGGCACUGAAGGGGUCACCCCACCCAGGCGGUGCUGCUCCGGGCCUGAGGUUUGUCCUUCGCCUUCCUGCUCCCACCACAGCAGGAGGGCCAGAGGCUGGCUGGAGACCUGCCCUUUGGGGGAAUGGCGGCAGAGGCUGAUGGCCAGGACCCUAAUCCCCUUUUUUGCACUUAUUAACCGUAACAGCUGGCGAAGGGCAGGGUCAGCUGCCGCGUGGCUCGGCUCUGAGACUUCCCGAGGCCGAUGACCUCGCUGCCUCAGUUUCCCGUCUGGAAUACAGCAACAUCACGGAUCGGAACAGCCUCUGUGGGAGCAGCGGUUGCGUGCGCUGUGUCCGCCCCGCAAUGACAAGGCGGCGCGUGGCUUGGAUAGUCAACAGGCGUUUGACUGAAUGAAGAACGUCCCCAGUAUGUGACUGUCUUCACAGGUAGCAAACUAUUUCCUGAGUGACGUCAUGAGAUAAAAGGGACAGAAGAUGAAAACAAAUCCAAAAAAUAGUCUCCUUUAAAGCUUUACUAAAAUACUCACCUGGUUGCCUCUUUUAUGGACGAUUCUGAGCUUCGUGUGCCCGAGCUGGGGCGUGGAGGCCCUGCCUGCCUCGUGAGCUGCUGUUCCAGAGCGUCCGCGGCCCGUGACUUGGGGCUAAGUGCUCCGUAGAGCCUCCCGUUUAGCCGAUACCGUCAUAUUUCCGGGCAAGUGGAGGCUUCAUUUAAUGGCUAAGAAUAGCACGUUUGGAGGGGUGGCCGCUCACCCGGGGCCACAUGCACGCAAACCAACCAAACAGCUCUGACCGGCGGUUUGCGCAGGUCGUGCCUUCGCGUAGCCCAGGUAUUAGGGCGGCACGUAAAGGUGUUCAGUGAAGCAACCUGCUCCUGCCCUGUUCCGUGGGCAGGACGAUGGGACGGUGCGCAUCAGCCCCCACCUCCCUGGGGCAUCCCUGGCAGCUGCCGCGGGGCCUCUGGCCAAGGGACCUGACCCUGGCCUGCCCCGGUGCGGAGGCAGCGUCUGUGCUCCCCCAUCUGGGUCGCCCCAGCUCUCCUGUCACCCCGUGACCAGCGCUCUGGGCGAAAUUCUCUCCGUCCUGAAGUCUUUAGGUGGGCUCUCAUUCCCUGCCGGACGUCGGGGAGGCGAGGCUCGGAGAGGCCCAGCAGCCAGGUAGGGGCACCAGCAUGCCCGAGUUUAGUUCUGGCUCAAGCGGGCACCAGCCUUCCCACCACACGGUGUGGCCGGGCUUCCCUGGGGUGACA